rnacentral:tRNA from 1 species
GCCGACGUGGUGAAAUUGGUAGACACGCACGCUUGAGGGGCGUGUUGCGCAAGCAGUGCCGGUUCGACUCCGGCCGUCGGCACCA